UCCUUCAGUGUUGAAACAAUCUCUAUGGAACCAGGCUCCAAACCAAGUUCACUGGAGUUUGUUUCAAUAUUGCAAGAA
rfam:Felis catus isolate Cinnamon breed Abyssinian chromosome A2, whole genome shotgun sequence.